AGUGAUGUAUUCUCGCAGGUGGGCAACUGCGGAGCGCCCGAACUGGACAUUUUCCGCUUUUAGCCCGGUGAAAUUGUUCAAUCGUUUUUAUUUCAUUUACACGAAGUGAAGUCUCUUAUUGUAAAAAAAUAUCCAAUGUGAAACUGUUGCAUGACUUUUAUAUAGUCAAAAACGUAAGCAUCGGGAUCGACAAUAAUUUAAGAACGUAU